rnacentral:rRNA from 1 species
UGGGCUCAAACCUAAAGAACCCAAAUAUCUAAACGGAGAGAUUCAAUACUGRAUUUAACACUCAGUGUGCACUUCUCUCUUAGUAAGACGCCGUGAUCCAUUAGAAAUUGGUAGACGCCAGUCUAUAUGAGGUCAUCAAUGGGCUUGUACGAAGUUUAUUGGAACGAAUGRCAURAUCUUUCAACGGUUGUGUGUAUUGUCUGGUAAGCGUGCGAGUACUCGUAAUGACUGUCUGAUGGAUUUUAAAGAUUGUAUCACUGAUGUUACGGCAUCACUCGCUUCGGCGAGCGUUUGAUAUGUAUCCGAUCAACGGCGGUUAAAUUUGGGAUACCUUUUGGACCCGUCUUGAAACACGGACCAAGGAGUCUAUCUAAUGUGCGAGUAAAUGAGUUGUAAACUUAUUUGCGUAAUAAACGUAACUAUUUAAUGGGAUUACGAGUCACCAUGCUCUUCCAUCCCGGAGUAUUUUCAUCCACAUAUACGCAAGUAUAUGGAAAAUAUAUCAUGAGCAUAUUGGAUACGACCCGAAAGAUGGUGAACUAUGCUUGAUCAGGUCGAAGUCAGGGGAAACCCUGAUGGAGGACCGAAGCAGUUCUGACGUGCAAAUCGAUUGUCAGAAUUGAGCAUAGGGGCGAAAGACCAAUCGAACCAUC